GCGGGGCGCAGUGGCACAUGCCUAUAGUCCCAGCUACUUGGGAGGCUGAGGUGGGAGGAUCGCUUGAGUCCAGGAGUUCUGGACUGCAGUGCGCUAUGCCCAUCGGGUGUCUGCACUAAGUUCAGCAUCAAUAUGGUGAGCGGGGGACCACCAGGCAGGUUGCCUAAGGAGGGGUGAACUGGCCCAGGUCAGAAACGGAGCAGGUCAAAAAAAAUAAGUUAAUCAAUAAAUAAAAAUAACUGUAUUUGUGGACUUUCAGUAGUUUCCAGUAUUAUGCAGUCAUAAGUAGUAUUGU
rnacentral:SRP_RNA from 1 species